AGUGUUCACGGCGGUCCUUAAUUUAACAUUGUGCAAUUAAGGCACGCGGUGAAUGCCAA
rnacentral:pre_miRNA from 2 species